GGAUCAUUAGCUCAGUUGGUAGAGCACCUGACUCUUAAUCAGGGUGUCCGGGGUUCGAACCCCUGAUGAUCCACCA
rnacentral:tRNA from 12 species